rnacentral:rRNA from 1 species
UGGUGGAGUGAUUUGUCUGGUUAAUUCCGUUAACGAACGAGACCUCAGCCUGCUAAAUAGUCAGAUGUACGCUUGCGUACAGUUGCUGACUUCUUAGAGGGACUGUCGGUUUCUAGCCGAAGGAAGCGUGAGGCAAUAACA